rnacentral:rRNA from 1 species
UACGGGGGGGGCAAGCGUUGUUCGGAAUUACUGGGCGUAAAGGGCUCGUAGGCGGCCAACUAAGUCAGACGUGAAAUCCCUCGGCUUAACCGGGGAACUGCGUCUGAUACUGGAUGGCUAGAGGUUGGGAGAGGGAUGCGGAAUUCCAGGUGUAGCGGUGAAAUGCGCAGAUAUCAGGAGGAACACCGGUGGCGAAGGCGGUUCUCUGGGCCUUACCUGACGCUGAGGAGCGAAAGCGUGGGGAGCGAACAGG